rnacentral:lncRNA from 1 species
AUGCCCUGCGCCGCGCGCUGUCGGGCGGCAUCUCGCGCCGCGCGGCGCAUGACGGCGCCCUGCAACCCGCCGACCAGUUCGUAUGCAAUUAGGUCGCUAAACUCCUCGUCCAUCGCCUCUUGCCCGACCCGGUAGAUGUAGGGGCCGGCCCAUUGCGGGUCCACGGCAUCAUAGGCGAGCACCACGUCGGCAAGAGUCGGCGGCCACCCGGUCGCGUGCGCGCGCACCGCACCGAGGGCCGCAGCGUGAACGGGCUCUCCGAGCGCUUCCCACAUGUACGUGUACAGUCGGACGACAUUGGCGAAUUUGGGUUCGCGUGCGCGCGCCGCCGGGCGUCGCGGACCCGGCGGACCUCCGACGGGGACCGUGCCCGCCAGGCCUCCGAUCGAGCCGCCGAGGGUCAAUCGCAGGGCCUCGCGCAGAUCGUCGACGUCGGCCGAGCCGCGCACGAUGCGCUCGUUGAGGGCGUCGAGGUCGGCCACGGCCUGUUCAUAGUCCCACGGUGCGGGCACAGGCCCCGGUUCGCUUUCAUCCUCGUUUUCAUCGUCGUCGCUGUCUCUGUUUUCACCGUCGGCGCGUGCCUGCUUGCGCAGCGGCGACCCCACAAACAUGGGUCCCGAGAGGUCAUCCUCCUCGUCCUCCUGUUCCUCUUGUGGCAGGCGUCGCUUCAUUGCGGUUCUCUCUCUUUUUUCGCCCCUUUUUUUUGAUAAGGGCAGCCUUUUUACGGUCCUGAAAAACAAGUGGGUCAAAAAAACAGAAAAAUAAAACUUUUGCAGCC